UCCAGGGGUGGAUCUUGGGAAAAUCACAAAGGCUGCUGUUGGCAAGGAGCUGCAGAAACGCCACAUCCCAGUGGUUGCUGUGGUCUCAGCUGCGCUGCUGUCCGUGCUGACGCUGGCCUGUAUUCCUAUGCUAUGGAUGUGGAAAAAAAUAUCUGGCGCGCAAGAGAGAACGGGCAGCUGCAGGACAAGCUCCUCCUGACACCGACUGGGAGAGAGAUCAGAACGGAGGCAGAGGCGGAGCGGAGCUGGGGGAGGCUGCAAAGGAGGAUGGACUC